CUCUCUCUUUCACAGGCUGUGUCCAGAGUCUCAACCUGUGCCUGGUACAUAGUAGACUCAGUAACUACUUGUUUUUGAAUGAACACAGAAUACUCUGGAGCUAGGCACAGCCCGCCCCAUUCUCCUGGCAUAGAGAGCCACAGAGAGGCCCCUGGGUAAGGCUGGGAGUGCCAGCUCUAUGGGGCAGAGGGAAGGCACCCUUCAGGCCACUGGGGAAGGAAGGCCUGAAGCUGGGAGGCUGUGGGAGAUCCAAGAGUCUCCCAGGCCCCAGAGAGGCCCUCCCCACACGCCAGGGGAAGUUGAAGCUGGCUUCUCUCUGGAUCUGCUGGCUAGACCCUUUGAGCCACAGGCCCAGGCUGGUUCUGAAACUACAGAGAUGGACCUGCCAAUCCUGCAGCCCCCUUCCACCUCUGCCACACAGUGAGCUCCCCUUCCCCAGCUCUGCCUCUGGCUUUACCUCACUGGGGUCAUCCCCUGGAAGAGACUCAGAUGGAACCUGGGGCAGGGGGAGGUUGGGGAAGCAGCAGGCUAAUGGGCAGAUAGAUGACAGACAAGUCACUGUCCUGGCCAGCCCUGACUCCCAGCCAGACCCCCAAGAACUACACUCCCAUCCUCUAAGCCCUCCUCAGCUGAAGCCUGUCACCUGAGGUUUUCCCACCUUCACUGCGCCUCAGUUUCUUCAUCUGCACUAUGGGUGUAAGCACCCUGGCCUUACUAGAUGGUUGGAAGCUGGGCUUUGGGACCCAGGAACAAGCCCUGGGUAUAGCCCCUUCCUGAUGGAGAGACUCCUGUCUCAUGAGGCACACACGAUGCCUGCUGUGUCCCCCAGGUGGCCGGCAAUGGAGGUGGCCACAGACAUAUACCGUGGGCCACUCUCUGCCACUCUGGGGACCAUAGUUCCUUCAAAUCCAGAGCAUCAGCCCUGCUCUAUGCGGCUCUCAAGGCCUGUUCCCGCUGUGUCUCCCCCAGUUAUCAGACCAGGAGGGUUGCUGCAAGGCUAGACCCAUGCUUGGAGUCCUAGGAAGUGGGGAGCCCUGGGGCCCUGUCCCCUGAGUAUGCCUUUCUAAUAACCAGGACUUGGCAGGGGAGCACCUCAGGUGGCACUCCCUUUCCCAGAAGCCUUGGGAGCUCCCAGAGUGGUAGCUUCAGAGCCCCAGCCCUGCCCUCACCUCCUUCACCCAGCUCUGGCAGAGGCC
rnacentral:lncRNA from 1 species